rnacentral:rRNA from 1 species
GAUGAACGCUAGCUACAGGCUUAACACAUGCAAGUCGAGGGGCAGCACAGAGUGGCAACACUUGGGUGGCGACCGGCGCACGGGUGAGUAACACGUAUCCAACCUGUCCCAUACUCGGGGAUAGCCUUUCGAAAGAAAGAUUAAUACCCGAUGGUAUCAGAUUAAGGCAUCUUGAUUUGAUUAAAGAGAUUCGGUAUGGGGUGGGAUGCGUUCCAUUAGCUUGUUGGCGGGGUAACGGCCCACCAAGGCAACGAUGGAUAGGGGUUCUGAGAGGAAGGUCCCCCCACAUUGGUACUGAGACACGGGACCAAACUCCUACGGGAGGCAGCAGUGAGGAAUAUUGGUCAAUGGCCGAGAGGCUGAACCAGCCAAGUCGCGUGAGGGAUGAAGGUUCUAUGGAUCGUAAA